UCUGACCUCAAAUCAGGUAGGAUUACCCGCUGAACUUAAGCAUAUCAAUAAGCGGAGGAAAAGAAACUAACAAGGAUUCCCUUAGUAACUGCGAGUGAAGUGGGAAAAGCUCAAAUUUAAAAUCUGGCAGUCUGAUUUUUUAUCUUUGGCUGUCCGAGUUGUAAUCUAGAGAAGUGCUACCUGUACUGGACCGUGUACAAGUCUCCUGA
rnacentral:rRNA from 1 species